GUGGCGCGCGUGCGCGGGGUGUCUCGUCAGGCGCGGUGGCUCCGGCUCCGGGGAGAAGCGAGUUGGGAACACUAAAUGUUCCUUUCUUUAAUGUUUAAUGGAGACAGUGUUUAUCUAGAGCAAGUGUAGGAACUUAAGUGAUUUAUUAUCACACUUCGGAGACAGGCUGAGCAGCCGUUGGGGGUAAAAUGCAAAGGAUGCCGGCGACUUUUGGAGGGGAGAUACUGAAUAUAAGAAGUUCUGGAUGGGAAAUCAAGAAAUCAAAUAUAACUUCAAACAGCUGACGUGUACAUCUGCAUGGUAGUUGCACGAAAUGUAAUAUUAACGUACUGUAACACUUUUUUGGUGAUAACAAAUGUUAAACUUGACAAGCAAAAUUCUCAAGUGUUGCAAACCUCGAGUACCUGUUUCUGUGCCUUGUCUUCCAAUAGCAAAAGAAACCAGUGGAAUUACUUUUCAAAGGAAGCAGAGCGUUGUUCCAUGAAGCUAUCAGGUGAACUAUAAACCCCACGCAAUAUUUCUAUAGAUUUCGUGUCUUUCUGCUGAAUUGUGUCCUACCUGCAGCUUUGGGCUGGUUGGGGAUGGCGCCGUCUCUGCUCUUCCCUUCAAGGCCAAACUACAACUUGACGAACUUACACGAUUUUAAUACAUUGAAAAAAAGAGAAACAACCUGAAAAAAAAGAUGCUGAUCUAACACCCACUGGGGUUAUUGGAACUCUGAUUUGCAGUUGGUGUGUUCGCAGGACCAAGGUUAAUAUUCCCAAGAGCAGAAACCUUAUGCUCCUCCAGAGCACCGCGGAUGACCUAUAUAAAGCAUUUAGUAUAUGCAGUUUAUGCCAGUCAAACAGUAUUUGUAUCAUAUUUAUCAAAUUAUUGAAAACUUCUGCAGUUUAUUGCCCGUUUUUCAGCACGCCUCGGUAGCAGAUACCCCUCUGGGCAUGCUUCGUUUCUCUCCAGGUCACUCGGAACACAAAGAUCUCAGAUAAAUAGGGCUGGAGUCUCAUCUGCUGGUGUUCCAAACAGCGUGUCAGCUGUUGACAGCAACCGAGGAGCUGGGCUCUCAUCUUCUAUGACACAAAAAAACCUCCUGAGUCAAUCAUUUAUUAACUUGCAGCUAACUAUAAAGGAAACGUCCGUGUUUGUCGCUGUGCCAGCGGAACACUGGGGCAGGGAAUAAUCCGCCCAGUAUCAUUCCCAGAAGCAGAGCUGCUGGUGCUCCCGUGACUCUCGUCUCAUCUGGCAACGGCAAAUGGGGAAAAAAAUCAACUAUUUGGUGAUGGAAAGUGAUACAGUCUUGACAUCCCACGUCUGAGAAGUGUCAUGAGCUUAAUUUCUGAUAACACUUGUCUUGUUCAAAACUGACAGCUCCUCACUCUGGAAGCUGAAAGUGUUGUUAUUCAUACCAAACACGUUCUGCUCCCUGAGUUCAAACCCAAACUUUUUCAUGGCCAGACUUCACUUGUUAAGUGUAACAAUGGCUCUCAGAUUAAAUGCACCGUAUCUUAGAGGAGUGUAGCCUACAGUUAGACUUAGGCCAAGAUGUUUUUCAGACCUGGUCUACAUGAAGCACAUUAGGUUUCAUCCAUCAUUUAAUUUAGAUGAAAUAAACUGUCAGACUGUGGCUCUUUUUCUUUAACAACUCUUUCUAGCUAACAUAACGAGAUUAAUCCUGCUAAAACCCCAAGAACAUUCUUGCGGGUUUAUUGACUGAUUCACUGAGUGCCUUUAGCCUUCAGAAUGGGGAAGUGACUGCAUUUUUCAAAUGGAACGUAUAAAAUUCUUUAAAGUGUACAAAUAGUCCUUGUUAAUGCGAAGUCAUCUGUUAGUUACCCAAAUAGAUAUUAAGGUUCUGAUUUUCCUUCCAAACUGAGUUGAGUCUUCUAAUGUCUCAGGGCGGGUCAUUGGAAGCCGUUAGAAGAGGUGAAAAUUGGACAAUGCUCAGAAGGUUUGAUCUUCACUUCUUGGCUUCUACCAGCAGACGCUUUCUUCAGACACCAGAAUGGUUCAGAAAAAAAUGCUGAUUUAUUACUUCAUGAAUGAAAUCACAUUUUUUCUUCAUGAGAAUGAACUUAUCUGUCAGUCCUAAACAUGGGUAUCUGCAUCUUCAUAAAUAGGGUCUUCGGAAAAUGUAUUUGAACAGGAAAUUUAAUCCUGGUUUAUGAUAAUUCGAGUCUGUAUUUAUUCAUUAGGAUCCACCUGUAGGCCUUUUAAAUUCUUGAUAUAGCGAACAGGAUUUUUAGAUGUGCUUAUGAGCAUUAUUUAGGGAAGACAGCGGGAAUAAAGAACUUCAUUUAGUUACUUCUGAAAACACCACAUCGAAACAUUUAUAACUGAAACCCUUUCAUUCCUGAAGUUGGGGCUGGCACACGAAGUUAGAGAUGGGAUCAAGGAGUCCAGGGGACUUCCCGGACUGGUCUGGGUGGGUGGAGGUGGGAGGUGCUGGGUGGGCAGCAUGGGGAUGAUUGGGACAGGCACAUUUCUAAUACCGUGUUCUGCCGAAGCACCUCGGGCAAAACCCUGCCCAUAAAGUGAUGUAUCAACUGAGGCUUCCUCAUUCACCCCCACCGUGCAGAAUUCGAAUACGAACAGCUUGUAGAUACGGCAAUAAUGUAGGAGUACUUCUAGCAAAUGAACUGUACUAAGUGUGGCAGAAGACACUUGAGAGCAAAGCUAGUGACAGUAAUUAUUCUAGUCUGAAUUCAUAAUGAUGCAGAUUGCUGAAUCCUGACGGUAAAAGCUUUGAAAUACCCAGCGGUGACAGGCGUGCGGUGACGAGCCGGGGUUUUCACCAGAGAGGUCUGUGCAAAGAACCUUUGCAGGAGAUGGGAAAAAACAUAAUGACGGGCUGUGAUUUUCUGAAUCCGAUCCACAUCAGUAGAAAAUUCUCAAUAUCACUGGCUCACAGAAGCAAGUACUAUUGUCUGUGGUUUCAAAAGCAAAUUUGUGGAGAGAUGUAGCAGGGAUUUAAUAUAUUUAAUAGAGAACUGUGAGCAGAACAGCCCUACUGAAAUCAACCUUCUUGCAUGCUAAUUCUCAUGCGUAAUAGUAACCUAAAUGAAUAAUGUUUUCCAGGGUCAGAAACAGGCACUAGAUCAUUGAAUAGCCACAUUUUUUUUCUGUAAUAUUACUGGAACUCAUUAAUUAGGACAUGAUUUGGAGGCAGCAGCAACAUUAGAUAGGAACUAUUAGAGUGAUCAUCUACUUUGAAAAAAAUAGAUUCAUUUCAGUGAUGUCAAAGAGAAGUAAAACUCACCUAGUUAUCCACAAUGUUAGAGGACAAAGCAGCAAAAACUACUCAGAAAUAGGAGCAUAUAAUGUUUUACCUCAAUCAAACCUGAAAAAUUAUAGAUCAGCUUCACGCAGCUGACACAGGAGGGAGCCAACUGGGUUCAGCACGGCUAAUGGAGCCAAAUUCCAGUUUAAAUCCCUCUUCCCUUUGGACCGCUGAAGAAAUAUCCUACUGGUGAUGGGCUUCUCUCCAUCUUUCCCCUUUUCUCAAGAGCACAAACCUCCUGCAAGCUGACGCACAGAAAGCGCGUCCCUUCCUUCUCUCUUACGCAGCAGCAGAGAUGCUUGGACACUAUUUCAUACCCUUCGUCUAACGUCCUGUGCAGGAAUUAGAAGGAAAAACAAAGGCAGCGAGGAGAGGACUUUAAGGACACCCCCAAAAAUCAGUCUGAUUACUUCUGACUUCAUCACUGCCUCCUCAAACUCCCUACGAAUCAUUCCCCUGUUAAAGAGCCAGGUUACAUUUAGAAAGAUAUAAUCAAGUCAUGAAAUCCUCGCAGGUCGAAAACUAUGAUAGUACCAUGAGGCCACUAGUAGAGAGGAUGUUCUUUAAAAGCUGAGUGUUAGUUCAAGUGAAAUUUAAGGUCACAAAGUUCAGAGGGCUGGUCAGUUUGAAGAGUAAGAUAAACCAGAUAUAACACCUCUGAAAAACUGCAAUUGAUUGCUUUCUAAUUUGAAAACAGCACAUGUCUAGGGGAACUGGCCUGUCAGGUUUUUGACUCACACUAUCAUUUAUUCCAUGUUGUGGAAAACAAACAAACAAACAAACAAAGCAAACCCUUUCAAUGGCAGGAGGAUUGUAAAUGAAAUAUUGCCAAUGAAGCUCGAUCAUUGCCAUGGCAACAGUGCAGCUGCGGUCAUGUCACAAGGAAAAUGGAUUUUAUUGCUUUGCGAUUCCUUGCUUGGCUGCGUGUCAGUGAACAGCGCGUGUAGUACGAGGGGUCCUGUUGCCUCAGCGCGAGACGGAUUUCACCCUGUUAUUGAAGUACAGCUAUGCCAGAGCACGGCAUUUACCUGCAAAAACGAACACUUUGGGUGGUCUCCACCCUUCCAUCCACCUGUCAUUUCUGAUCUUAUCUGCACAUGGUGUGGCUUAUUCUCUACAGAGUCCUGACGCUUGUAAGAAGAUUAAACUGCAGAGCAGAUUUCAAGGAU